rnacentral:lncRNA from 1 species
GUUUCCUUUGGUUAUAUGUUAAAUCAAAAGGUCUGUGUAAUGUAUCAAUUUUGACUACAUUUUUAAAAAAAAAUAAUGUAAUGGUAAUAGUAGAAAUGUGCCACACUUAAGUUUUGUACAAUAUGAAAUUCAGUUAAAAGAACUUGUGGUUCAUACUUAACAGAAUAUUACUUGCAUGAAGUACUUAAUGUUUGGUUAUCCUGAAGUUUCUGAGUGCAUAGGGUAUUCUUUGUGUAAAACUAUGUUUUUGUCAGUCGUUCAGAAUAUGGUUAUUUAUUCUGAUAAUUGACCCUCUUGCACAUGGCAGUGUAUUUUCUGGGAUAUAUCAGUAGGGGAGAGGGCUUCUGCCAGUAUUUGCAGGUUGAGUUUGUGCUGUUUAAGAAGGACUGACUGCCAUCCUGCAUCUCUUUUUCUAACUGGGGGACCAGGAUUGCCGCUACAGAAAAGUCGAAGAGCCUCUCCAACCUUUUGUCAUCUGUGGUGAAGAUGGAAUCUUAAAAUAUAUUUGGAGUUUUAUCUGUUUUUACAAAUACAUUGAUGGCCUAAGUUCUCCCUUGUCUGCUGCCAUUUGAGUUGUAAGGGAUUCCUGUUGCUAAAUACGAAGAAUGUGGAACACUCAUAUGGCCUCUGUGACUGGGGGAAGGAAGGAAAACAUUUCUUUCUUAUGGGCUUUAUGCUCACUUUUGGAAACACCAAUGUCAUACUCAGCUUUCAAAGAAUCAGAAUGCAUUUUAAGACAACUAGGUUGAGUAGAAGGCAUUGAAGAAUACAUUAACUUGCUGGAAAUAAUUGUGAUAUAUGAAGUUCCCAAUUGAUGGAAUUAUUUAAUAUGUAAAGACUAAGAAAUUUCUUUGAAAUCAUAAAGCAGUUUAAAAAUAAAUUGGUAAAAAUAACUGUACUACCUAAUAGAGAAUUAUUCAACCAAGAGAAGAGUCAAGUGACUAUUAUUUGUUUAUUGGUUAGUAACAGUUUAUUUGUAAGCUUGAUUAUAUUGAAAGAUAACUUACUGU